GUGGGUAUAGCUCAGGUGGUUAGAGCGCCAGAUUGUGGCUCUGGAGGUCACGGGUUCAAGUCCCGUUAUCCACCCCA
rnacentral:tRNA from 1 species